UACGAUGAUCUUUUUCCCCCUCUCUUCUGGAAAUGGCUGGUAUCAGACACGACACGCCUCCCGGAAAGAGCCGAGAAGGAAAUUGUGGCGGCGCCGGAGGGAGAUGCCAGCUGACCGUGGAGGCGGCGGCGUGGACAACGCGCCCAUGGCAUCGGCGGGCAUCGUCGAAGCUCCCGGGGCGUGCGCGUCGGCUCCAUAGAGCUUCCCCGGCCUCUCCAAGACCGGCAUCCAGGUCUCCACUCUCUCGAUCAGCUUGAUGCCCGCCGCUUCCAAGAUCUCCAGUGCUUCACAGCCGCAAACACACAGGUGCAGGAUGUAUGUGUGUGAUGUGUUGUGCUUGGAGUGCACUAGUACCAGGGCUCCUAUCGCUGCCGGUACACCGACGGUGAGGGCCAUGGCGGUGGUGGACCUGCCGUUCUCGGUCUUUCCGAACUCCAGCAGCGUAGCUUGGUGCUUCUCCGCGGGUCGCCCGUCGGGGUACUCCACCUCGACUUCAUGGUGGAGCAGUACCAUAUCCUGAAUUAUGGGACACAAGCACACGUUUAGUGCAUCAGUAACUCCAAUGGUCCAAGUGAUGAUCCGAUAGGGAUGGGCAAGGGUGGUCCAAAAGCUGUUAGAUCCAACUUCUUUCCUUUGAUGUUCUUGGACACCUUUCAAUUAUUUGUACUAUUUACUUUUUAUUAUGCUCAGUAAUUGAUCAAAAAUGGACACCAAAAGUUACCAUCCAUCAUGCCCCAAACAUAAGUUACCAUCCAUCACUAUCAGUUCCACACUUUUCCUAGAUGCAAAAGAGAAUGAGAAGUCUAAUUCUGUGACAACUGACGAGAUGUCUUUUGCUAGGCCAUCUUAGCCUCCUUGAGACCUUGACUAUAAGUCUUUUGAUGUAGCUUGUAGAAAAUAAUUUCUCUAAAAAAACUAAAUGUUAACUACCAAACCCGAGACAGCAUGUUGUGUUUUCUUCGUACUGAAAAUAGUUCAUAUCAGUAAGA